rnacentral:rRNA from 1 species
CUCCUACGGGAGGCAGCAGUGGGGAAUAUUGCACAAUGGGCGCAACUAGGAUGCAGCGACGCCGCGUGAGGGAUGGAGGCCUUCGGGUUGUAAACCUCUUUUGUUUGGGAGCAAGCCUUCGGGUGAGUGUACCUUUCGAAUAAGCGCCGGCUAACUACGUGCCAGCAGCCGCGGUAAUACGUAGGGCGCAAGCGUUAUCCGGAUUUAUUGGGCGUAAAGGGCUCGUAGGCGGCUCGUCGCGUCCGGUGUGAAAGUCCAUCGCUUAACGGUGGAUCUGCGCCGGGUACGGGCGGGCUGGAGUGCGGUAGGGGAGACUGGAAUUCCCGGUGUAACGGUGGAAUGUGUAGAUAUCGGGAAGAACACCGAUGGCGAAGGCAGGUCUCUGGGCCGUCACUGACGCUGAGGAGCGAAAGCGUGGGGAGCGAACAGGAUUAGAUACCCUGGUAGUCCACGCCGUAAACGGUGGACGCUGGAUGUGGGGCACGUUCCACGUGUUCCGUGUCGGAGCUAACGCGUUAAGCGUCCCGCCUGGGGAGUACGGCCGCAAGGCUAAAACUCAAAGAAAUUGACGGGGGCCCGCACAAGCGGCGGAGCAUGCGGAUUAAUUCGAUGCAACGCGAAGAACCUUACCUGGGCUUGACAUGUUCCCGACGACGCCAGAGAUGGCGUUUCCCUUCGGGGCGGGUUCACAGGUGGUGCAUGGUCGUCGUCAGCUCGUGUCGUGAGAUGUUGGGUUAAGUCCCGCAACGAGCGCAACCCUCGCCCCGUGUUGCCAGCACGUUAUGGUGGGAACUCACGGGGGACCGCCGGGGUUAACUCGGAGGAAGGUGGGGAUGACGUCAGAUCAUCAUGCCCCUUACGUCCAGGGCUUCACGCAUGCUACAAUGGCCGGUACAGCGGGAUGCGACAUGGCGACAUGGAGCGGAUCCCUGAAAACCGGUCUCAGUUCGGAUCGGAGCCUGCAACCCGGCUCCGUGAAGGCGGAGUCGCUAGUAAUCGCGGAUCAGCAACGCCGCGGUGAAUGCGUUCCCGGGCCUUGUACACACCGC